GAUGAACGCUGGCGGCGUGCCUAAUACAUGCAAGUCGAGCGAACAGACGAGGAGCUUGCUCCUCUGACGUUAGCGGCGGACGGGUGAGUAACACGUGGAUAACCUACCUAUAAGACUGGGAUAACUUCGGGAAACCGGAGCUAAUACCGGAUAAUAUAUUGAACCGCAUGGUUCAAUAGUGAAAGACGGUUUUGCUGUCACUUAUAGAUGGAUCCGCGCCGCAUUAGCUAGUUGGUAAGGUAACGGCUUACCAAGGCAACGAUGCGUAGCCGACCUGAGAGGGUGAUCGUCCACACUGGAACUGAGACACGGUCCAGACUCCUACGGGAGGCAGCAGUAGGGAAUCUUCCGCAAUGGGCGAAAGCCUGACGGAGCAACGCCGCGUGAGUGAUGAAGGUCUUCGGAUCGUAAAACUCUGUUAUUAGGGAAGAACAAAUGUGUAAGUAACUAUGCACGUCUUGACGGUACCUGAUCAGAAAGCCACGGCUAACUACGUG
rnacentral:rRNA from 1 species